rnacentral:rRNA from 1 species
GUGAACGCUGGCGGUAGGCCUAACACAUGCACGUCGAACGGCAGCACCGUAAGAGCUUGCUCUUACGGGUGGCGAGUGGCGGACGGGUGAGGAAUACAUCGGAAUCUACUUUUUCGUGGGGGAUAACGUAGGGAAACUUACGCUAAUACCGCAUACGACCUACGGGUGAAAGCAGGGGGUCUUCGGACCUUGCGCGAUUGAAUGAGCCGAUGUCGGAUUAGCUAGUUGGCGGGGUAAAGGCCCACCAAGGCGACGAUCCGUAGCUGGUCUGAGAGGAUGAUCAGCCACACUGGAACUGAGACACGGUCCAGACUCCUAAGGGAGGCAGCAGUGGGGAAGAUUGGACAAUGGGCGCAAGCCUGAUCCAGCCAUACCGCGUGGGUGAAGAAGGCCUUCGGGUUGUAAAGACCUUUUGUUGGGAAAGAAAAGCAGCAGGUUAAUACCCCGCUGUUCUGACGGUACCCAAAGAAUAAGCACCGGCUAACUUCGUG